rnacentral:rRNA from 1 species
AAAAAAGGUAAGCUACUAAGAGCGAAUGGUGGAUGCCUUGACUGGUAAAGGCGAUGAAGGACGUACUAGACUGCGAUAAGCUACGGGGAGCUGUCAAGAAGCUUUGAUCCGUAGAUUUCCGAAUGGGGCAACCCAAUGUAUAGAGAUAUACAUUACCUAUAUAGGAGCGAACGAGGGGAAUUGAAACAUCUUAGUACCCUCAGGAAAAGAAAUCAAUAGAGAUUGCGUCAGUAGCGGCGAGCGAAAGCGCAAGAGGGCAAACCCAGUGCUUGCACUGGGGGUUGUAGGACUGCAAUGUGCAAGAGGUGAGUUUAGCAGAACAUUCUGGAAAGUAUAGCCAUAGAGGGUGAUAGUCCCGUAUGCGAAAAACAAACCUUAGCUAGCAGUAUCCUGAGUAGGGCGGGACACGAGAAAUCCUGUCUGAAGCUGGGUCGACCACGAUCCAACCCUAAAUACUAAUACCAGAUCGAUAGUGCACAAGUACCGUGAGGGAAAGGUGAAAAGAACUGAGGUGAUCAGAGUGAAAUAGAACCUGAAACCAUUUGCUUACAAUCAUUCAGAGCCCUAUGUAGCAAUACAGGGUGAUGGACUGCCUUUUGCAUAAUGAGCCUGCGAGUUGUGGUGUCUGGCAAGGUUAAGCAAACGCGAAGCCGUAGCGAAAGCGAGUCUGAAUAGGGCGCUUAGUCAGAUGCUGCAGACCCGAAACGAAGUGAUCUAUCCAUGAGCAAGUUGAAGCUAGUGUAAGAACUAGUGGAGGACUGAACCCAUAGGCGUUGAAAAGCCCCGGGAUGACUUGUGGAUAGGGGUGAAAGGCCAAUCAAACUUCGUGAUAGCUGGUUCUCUCCGAAAUAUAUUUAGGUAUAGCGUUGUGUCGUAAUAUAAGGGGGUAGAGCACUGAAUGGGCUAGGGCAUACACCAAUGUACCAAACCCUAUCAAACUCCGAAUACCUUAUAUGUAAUCACAGCAGUCAGGCGGCGAGUGAUAAAAUCCGUCGUCAAGAGGGAAACAACCCAGACUACCAGCUAAGGUCCCUAAAUCUUACUUAAGUGGAAAACGAUGUGAAGUUACUUAAACAACCAGGAGGUUGGCUUAGAAGCAGCCAUCCUUUAAAGAAAGCGUAAUAGCUCACUGGUCUAGUGAUUUUGCGCGGAAAAUAUAACGGGGCUAAAGUAAGUACCGAAGCUGUAGACUUGCGCACAACUUAGAUUAUUUAAGUUUAGAAUAUGAGAAACUAAGUUAUAUGUUUAGUUAUAUUUUUACUGAUUUUUAUAGAGUAAAGAUAGAAAUAAAACUUAGUAAAAUCAGUAAAAAUAUUCUUAGACUAAAGUUAAGUAGUUUAAGUUGUGUGCAAGUGGUAGGAGAGCGUUCUAUUUGCGUCGAAGGUAUACCGGUAAGGAGUGCUGGAGCGAAUAGAAGUGAGCAUGCAGGCAUGAGUAGCGAUAAUUAAUGUGAGAAUCAUUAACGCCGUAAACCCAAGGUUUCCUACGCGAUGCUCGUCAUCGUAGGGUUAGUCGGGUCCUAAGUCGAGUCCGAAAGGGGUAGACGAUGGCAAAUUGGUUAAUAUUCCAAUACCAACAUUAGUGUGCGAUGGAAGGACGCUUAGGGCUAAGGGGGCUAGCGGAUGGAAGUGCUAGUCUAAGGUCGUAGGAGGUUAUACAGGCAAAUCCGUAUAACAAUACUCCGAGAACUGAAAGGCUUUUUGAAGUCUUCGGAUGGAUAGAAGAACCCCUGAUGCCAUCGAGCCAAGAAAAGUUUCUAAGUUUAGCUAAUGUUGCCCGUACCGUAAACCGACACAGGUGGGUGGGAUGAGUAUUCUAAGGCGCGUGGAAGAACUCUCUUUAAGGAACUCUGCAAAAUAGCACCGUAUCUUCGGUAUAAGGUGUGGUUCGCUUCGUAUUAGGAUUUACUCCGAAAGCGAAGAAACUUACAACAAAGAGUCCCUCCCGACUGUUUACCAAAAACACAGCACUCUGCUAACUCGUAAGAGGAUGUAUAGGGUGUGACGCCUGCCCGGUGCUCGAAGGUUAAUUGAUGGGGUUAGCAUUAGCGAAGCUCUUGAUCGAAGCCCGAGUAAACGGCGGCCGUAACUAUAACGGUCCUAAGGUAGCGAAAUUCCUUGUCGGUUAAAUACCGACCUGCAUGAAUGGCGUAACGAGAUGGGAGCUGUCUCAAAGAGGGAUCCAGUGAAAUUGUAGUG